rnacentral:rRNA from 1 species
GACGAACGCUGGCGGCGCGCCUAACACAUGCAAGUCGAACGAGAGAUGAAGAGCUUGCUCUUCAAAUCGAGUGGCGAACGGGUGAGUAACGCGUGAGGAACCUGCCUCAAAGAGGGGGACAACAGUUGGAAACGACUGCUAAUACCGCAUAAGCCCACGGCUCGGCAUCGAGCAGAGGGAAAAGGAGCAAUCCGCUUUGAGAUGGCCUCGCGUCCGAUUAGCUAGUUGGUGAGGUAACGGCCCACCAAGGCGACGAUCGGUAGCCGGACUGAGAGGUUGAACGGCCACAUUGGGACUGAGACACGGCCCAGACUCCUACGGGAGGCAGCAGUGGGGAAUAUUGGGCAAUGGGCGCAAGCCUGACCCAGCAACGCCGCGUGAAGGAAGAAGGCUUUCGGGUUGUAAACUCCUGUUCUUAGUGAAGAAUAAUGACGGUAGCUAAGGAGCAAGCCACGGCUAACUACGUG